GUGAGGUAACGGCUCACCAAGGCAUUGACGGGUAGCUAGUCUGAGAGGACGAAUAGCCACACUGGGACUGAGACACGGCCCAGACUCCUACGGGAGGCAGCAGCAGGGAAUCUUGCACAAUGGACGAAAGUCUGAUGCAGCGACGCCGCGUGGGGGAUGAAGGCCCUAGGGUCGUAAACCCCUUUCAGUAGGGACGAAAAUGACGGUACCUACAGAAGAAGGUCCGGCCAACUACGUGCCAGCAGCCGCGGUAAGACGUAGGGACCGAGCGUUGUCCGGAUUUAUUGGGCGUAAAGAGCUUGUAGGCGGUUGCGUAAGUCGGAUGUGAAAACUCGGGGCUCGACCCCGAGACGCCAUCCGAUACUGCGCUGACUUGAAUCCAGUAGGGGAGUGUGGAAUUCCUGGUGUAGCGGUGAAAUGCGCAGAUAUCAGGAGGAACACCUAUGGCGAAGGCAGCACUCUGGGCUGGUAUUGACGCUGAGGAGCGAAAGCAUGGGUAGCAAACAGGAUUAGAUACCCUGGUAGUCCAUGCCGUAAACGGUGGGCACUAGGUGUGGGGACUUUCAACGGUUUCCGUGCCGAAGCUAACGCAUUAAGUG
rnacentral:rRNA from 1 species